GAUGUAUUCAACGACGCGAGACACUUAACAUACAAAACAAAAGAGUAGAUAUUAAAAACAAAGCAAACUACAGAAAAUAGUAACAAUUAAUAAGGAUAAAUAUCGCAAGAACGUUAAAAAUCAACUAUUACUAUUUAAUCAUCCUUUCAGUGCGUGAAAUAGUCACCUUGUCACCUUUAGACUCGGCGAGCAUUGAAUAGCAUUGAGAUCCGACAAACAUUCGACUUUAUGCCGAGUACCAUCUUGAGCUAUGAUAUAUAUAAAGCCAUCCCGUGUCCAGCAUUUGUCAAUACCGAAACGAGAUCUUGCUUCAAAGAAGACAUCAUGCCUACUUUUUGUUAAAAAUUCCGAUUGCGUGACUCCAGUUCCUUUAAAUUUUGUUUUGGCGAACUAUAUUUUAUCUCGCAUCGUGACGUCACAAAACUUGACUACAAUAGGUCUAGACUUCUUAUCAUUAAAGCGACCUAAGCGGUAGGAAUUUUUUAUACAUGUACUUGAAAAAUUCGGCAGAAGUAGAUGUUGAACUACGAGACCAGUGACGCGGGAUGUUGUUUCCUCCGACUUCGCUUCUGGUACUCCAUGUAAAAGAAGCAUUCUUCGUCUUCUACGCAUUUCCUGACGAUCCAUCUGUUAAAUGCAGAAAUAAUAAAUGACUUAAAGGUCGUGAAUUCUGAAGCCAGAGAAGAAGUUGUAGUAGGCUGUUCAUUUAUCGCUGCAAAUCCUUCACCAAAUACCAAUCUUUACCGCUCAUGGUUUAUUCAAACUGGACUAUAUGAUGAUGUUGGAAGGUGCACGUUCUGUGACUACUUUUCUAGUGAUUCUGCUGCAGUUUGUUAC